rnacentral:tRNA from 1 species
ACUUGGCUGACUCAGUUGGAAGAGCAUGCAACUCUUGAUCUCAGGGUUGUGGGUUUGAGUCCCAUGUUAGGUA